rnacentral:rRNA from 1 species
GACGAACGCUGGCGGCGUGCCUAAUACAUGCAAGUCGAACGCUUCUUUCCUCCCGAGUGCUUGCACUCAAUUGGAAAGAGGAGUGGCGGACGGGUGAGUAACACGUGGGUAACCUACCCAUCAGAGGGGGAUAACACUUGGAAACAGGUGCUAAUAACGCAUAAAAGUUUAUGCCGCAUGGCAUAAGAGUGAAAGGCGCUUUCGGGUGUCGCUGAUGGAUGGAACCGCGGUGCAUUAGCUAGUUGGUGAGGUAACGGCUCACCAAGGCCACGAUGCAUAGCCGACCUGAGAGGAUGAUCGGCCACACUGGGACUGAGACACGGCCCAGACUCCUACGGGAGGCAGCAGUGGGGAAUCUUCGGCAAUGGACGAAAGUCUGACCGAGCAACGCCGCGUGAGUGAAGAAGGUUUUCGGAUCGUAAAACUCUGUUGUUAGAGAAGAACAAGGACGUUAGUAACUGAACGUCCCCUGACGGUAUCUAACCAGAAAGCCACGGCUAACUACGUG